GACGAACGCUGGCGGCGUGCUUAACACAUGCAAGUCGAACGGUAAGGCCCUUCGGGGUACACGAGUGGCGAACGGGUGAGUAACACGUGGGUGAUCUGCCCUGCACUUCGGGAUAAGCCUGGGAAACUGGGUCUAAUACCGGAUAGAACCACUGCCUGCAUGGGUGGUGGUGGAAAGCUUUUGCGGUGCGGGAUGGGCCCGCGGCCUAUCAGCUUGUUGGUGGGGUGAUGGCCUACCAAGGCGACGACGGAUAGCCGGCCUGAGAGGGUGACCGGCCACACGGGGACUGAGAUACGGCCCAGACUCCUACGGGAGGCAGCAGUGGGGAAUAUUGCACAAUGGGCGCAAGCCUGAUGCAGCGACGCCGCGUGAGGGAUGACGGCCUUCGGGUUGUAAACCUCUUUCAGCACCGACGAAGCGCAAGUGACGGUAGGUGCAGAAGAAGGACCGGCCAACUACGUGCCAGCCGCCGCGGUAA
rnacentral:rRNA from 1 species